CCUACGGGGGGCAGCAGUGGGGAAUAUUGGGCAAUGGGCGCAAGCCUGACCCAGCAACGCCGCGUGAAGGAAGAAGGCUUUCGGGUUGUAAACUUCUUUUCUCAGGGACGAAGAAAGUGACGGUACCUGAGGACUAAGCCACGGCUAACUACGUGCCAGCAGCCGCGGUAAUACGUAGGUGGCAAGCGUUAUCCGGAUUUAUUGGGUGUAAGGGGCGUGUAGGCGGGGGCGCAAGUCAGAUGUGAAAACUCAGGGCUCAACCCUGAGCCUGCAUUUGAAACUGUGUUUCUUGAGUGCUGGAGAGGCAAUCGGAAUUCCGUGUGGAGCGGUGAAAUGCGUAGAUAUACGGAGGAACACCAGUGGCGAAGGCGGAUUGCUGGACAGUAACUGACGCUGAGGCGCGAAAGCGUGGGGAGCAAACAGGAUUAGAUACCCGUGUAGUC
rnacentral:rRNA from 1 species